GUAACAAUGAGCCCCUUCCCUUCUGGCUGGCUGACAAAACUGCGAUCAUUGCAGGAUAGAGCCCACCUUUGCACUCACACUCAGCUCUCAGACACUAUUUGAGAGAAAACACCUGCUAUCAGGCAGUGAGAGAUUCUCCUCUCCAUUCAGCAAAGCCACUACUUUUAAAAACAUCAAGAACAAAUACCUAGACAGGAUCGCAAAAUCACAGAAUGAUUUGGGUUGGAAGGGACCUUAAAGACUGUCUAGUGACAACCUCCACUGUACUUCAAAGCCAAUACUCAGCAUGUGUUUUGUGCCUGUAAGUGCUGCUGCCUGCAGGGCUCCCACAAGUAGUUUUCAGACCACAUGGCAUUCAAGUUUCAUGAACAUUAUAACAUACCCAGCUUAAUGCCAUCUCUUCUUAAGGAAUCAAACAGCA
ensembl:lncRNA